ACUUAGUGAUCCGGUGGUUCUGCGUGGAAGGGCCAUCGCUCAACGGAUAAAAGCUACCCUGGGGAUAACAGGCUUAUCUCCCCCAAGAGUCCACAUCGACGGGGAGGUUUGGCACCUCGAUGUCGGCUCAUCACAUCCUGGGGCUGUAGUAGGUCCCAAGGGUUGGGCUGUUCGCCCAUUAAAGUGGUACGCGAGCUGGGUUCAGAACGUCGUGAGACAGUUCGGUCCCUAUCCGUCGCAGGCGUAGGAAAUUUGAGAAGACCUGUCCUUAGUACGAGAGGACCGGGAUGGACGUACCUCUGGUGUACCAGUUGUCCUGCCAAGGGCAUGGCUGGGUAGCUAUGUACGGAAUGGAUAAGCGCUGAAAGCAUCUAAGCGCGAAGCCAACUUCAAGAUAAGAUUUCCCACCGCAAGGGUAAGACCCCAGAAAGACUAUCUGGUUG
rnacentral:rRNA from 1 species